rnacentral:piRNA from 1 species
UGGUGUUUGGUCGCUGCAAUUGAAAUC